rnacentral:misc_RNA from 1 species
GAAGCCUUAGGACAUAGAAAUCCUAUUUUGUUUGCAUUUUGCCAAAUAUAAUGUUCUUCUGUUGGCAUACUGCUCCUCUUUGGCUUGACUUUCCUAUUCAUAGAAAUGUGAAAGGAACUUUAGGUUUUUGAUCCAAAUGUUUAUUCUUAUUCGUGUUGACAUUAUUGAUAUUUUAAAACCUGCGCUAGUUCUUGUAUCCUUGAUUGCAUAUGUGAAUUUCCUAAUGUAAGUUUUAUUUAUAGGAAGGGGAAAAUAUGGUGAAUAUUGAUUUGCUAUAGAAACUGAUUUUAUGUUUUCUAUUUGUCGUAAGAUUGCAUUCACAUCAUUAGUUACACACUUACACUUGUAGCACAAUUCUCUUCUGUAAUUGCUUUGCCAUAUACUCUGGGAAGCCAGAUGUGAGAACCAGAACUGGCUUUCAUUUUGUCCUAGUUAAAAGUCUAUCCUGACUUAUAUUCUAAUUAAUAAAUCAGCUAUUCAUGAUUUCAUGGAUGUUUUGUGCAGAAAGAAGGCACAUACAAGGGGAA